AACGAACGCUGGCGGCAUGCCUAACACAUGCAAGUCGAACGAGACCUUCGGGUCUAGUGGCGCACGGGUGCGUAACGCGUGGGAACCUGCCCUUAGGUUCGGAAUAACUCCCCGAAAGGGGUGCUAAUACCGGAUAAUGUCUUCGGACCAAAGAUUUAUCGCCUUUGGAUGGGCCCGCGUUGGAUUAGCUAGUUGGUAGGGUAAAAGCCUACCAAGGCGACGAUCCAUAGCUGGUCUGAGAGGAUGAUCAGCCACACUGGGACUGAGACACGGCCCAGACUCCUACGGGAGGCAGCAGUGGGGAAUAUGGGACAAUGGGCGAAAGCCUGAUCCAGCAAUGCCGCGUGAGUGAUGAAGGCCUUAGGGUUGUAAAGCUCUUUUACCCGGGAUGAUAAUGACAGUACCGGGAGAAGAAGCUCCGGCUAACUCCGU
rnacentral:rRNA from 1 species